rnacentral:rRNA from 1 species
GAUGAACGCUGGCGGCGUGCCUAAUACAUGCAAGUCGAGCGAACAGAUAAGGAGCUUGCUCCUUUGACGUUAGCGGCGGACGGGUGAGUAACACGUGGAUAACCUACCUAUAAGACUGGGAUAACUUCGGGAAACCGGAGCUAAUACCGGAUAACAUAUUGAACCGCAUGGUUCAAUAGUGAAAGGCGGCUUUGCUGUCACUGAUAGAUGGAUCCGCGCCGUAUUAGCUAGUUGGUAAGGUAACGGCUUACCAAGGCAACGAUACGUAGCCGACCUGAGAGGGUGAUCGGCCACACUGGAACUGAGACACGGUCCAGACUCCUACGGGAGGCAGCAGUAGGGAAUCUUCCGCAAUGGGCGAAAGCCUGACGGAGCAACGCCGCGUGAGUGAUGAAGGUCUUCGGAUCGUAAAACUCUGUUAUCAGGGAAGAACAAAUGUGUAAGUAACUGUGCACAUCUUGACGGCACCUGAUCAGAAAGCCACGGCUAACUACGUG